UUCCUCAGCGACUGCCCUCCUCAUCCUUUAAGCCAAGAGUUCUCUGCUCCAGGGACUCAGGUGACUCUGCUUUGCCUGUGUCCCCCCCACCCCCGUCUCGGGUGCCUGGAGGUUCCCCGAGAGGACGCCGGAUCACCACAGAACACAAAAAUGGUGAGUUUGCGACCAGGGCUGAAGGCACGCGUCACCACCCGCCUUGGGGCCUGGUGCCCGGGUGAGCUGGGGAGCGCAGCGGAGUCGUCGCCCUGUCCCUUGGCCUCGUGGGGUGAGUUGGGUUUUGGGUUUUUGAGGUGAGCUGCUGAGCGUGGCAGAGUCCCCGCUGGAGGGUGGCCCUGGGGCCUGUCCCCUGGUUCCCUGGGUUUGGAAGGACGGCUCAGGUCCCUGGUGUCCCCUUUGCUCCCUACUGGUGGCCCGACCCACUCUUCCCAACGUGGAGGAAGCAGGGCCACAAAUGCACCCUCCUUCUCCCAGGGGAGCUCCUCCGGAGGCUGCUGUAGGUUCCCCAAAUUGCAGGCGCCUCCUGCCUUCUAAACCCCACCUUCCCUCCAGCUCACAGCUCGGCCGGACGUUCGUUCUUCCCACUCGUUUCAAAUGGACACCGUCCGCUAAUUGUCACUUUUAAUCUAGCGAAAUGUUGGAGAGAAUAGUUCUUUUCUUUUAAUUGGGGACCCAAACUCGGGGAGCUUUAUGAGGCACAUCCCCGGCCUCCACUUUUACUGAAUUUUGAGAUCUGCACCCACUUGGUGCUGGGAGCUGGUCUCCAACCUGUGAUCCUUCUGUGACCGCUGUUUACCAGUGACGAGUCCUUGCUUCCCCGAAUGCUGAAGUAUAACACCAGAGAAGCACGCUGAGGCAAGUGUAGAGUGGAAAGUAGAGGUUUAUUAAAGGACAGCAGAAAAGACUUCUCCCCACAGGAAGAAGGGGACCCAAGAGGUGGAAUCCCUGUAAGGGGGAGGUCUUCCCUCUUUUAUAGCUAAAGUCUUCUUUCCGCUUUCCCACACUUUGUUUCUCAUUAUGUUGCAGUGAUAGAAUGCAGGUGGGAAGGUCCAAAAGGUGGGAGAUUGGUGGGCUGGAGGAGUAAUCAGGGCAGAAAAGGCCUGGGGUGGCUUUUGGAUUAUGAUUAACAGUUCCUUAGAAUAGAGUCAGGCCUUGGGGACAUUAACAUUUCAAUUGCUGCUCUG
rnacentral:lncRNA from 1 species